AAGUUUUGAAAUCUACCCACUGAUUUUGAAUUAACAGACUUACCCCUGAGUUAACUAAAGAAUUGCUGUGUGUAGUCUUUGCCCAUCCACUGUGAUGGGCUUUUUUUUGC
rnacentral:other from 1 species